CUACGGGCCGCAGCAGUGGGGAAUUUUGGACAAUGGGCGAAAGCCUGAUCCAGCCAUUCCGCGUGAGUGAUGAAGGCCUUCGGGUUGUAAAGCUCUUUCGGCCGGGAAGAAAUCGUGCAGGCUAAUAUCCUGCAUGGAUGACGGUACCGGAUCAAGAAGCACCGGCUAACUACGUGCCAGCAGCCGCGGUAAUACGUAGGGUGCGAGCGUUAAUCGGAAUUACUGGGCGUAAAGCGUGCGCAGGCGGAUGUUUAAGCCAGAUGUGAAAUCCCCGGGCUUAACCUGGGAAUGGCAUUUGGAACUGGACAUCUAGAGUGUGUCAGAGGGGGGUGGAAUUCCACGUGUAGCAGUGAAAUGCGUAGAGAUGUGGAGGAACACCGAUGGCGAAGGCAGCCCCCUGGGAUAACACUGACGCUCAUGCACGAAAGCGUGGGGAGCAAACAGGAUUAGAUACCCCAGUAGUC
rnacentral:rRNA from 1 species